rnacentral:tRNA from 1 species
UCUCGGAUAGCUUAACUGGUAGAUCCUUUGGCGCGUAUCCAAACGAUCUGGAUUCGAUUUCCAGUCCGAGCC